rnacentral:rRNA from 1 species
UACGAAGGGGGCUAGCGUUGUUCGGAAUCACUGGGCGUAAAGCGCACGUAGGCGGAUCUUUAAGUCGGGGGUGAAAUCCCGAGGCUCAACCUCGGAACUGCCUUUGAUACUGGGGAUCUCGAGUCCGGGAGAGGUGAGUGGAACUGCGAGUGUAGAGGUGAAAUUCGCAGAUAUUCGCAAGAACACCAGUGGCGAAGGCGGCUCACUGGCCCGGAACUGACGCUGAGGUGCGAAAGCGUGGGGAGCAAACAGG